rnacentral:rRNA from 1 species
UACGGGGGGGGCAAGCGUUGUUCGGAAUUACUGGGCGUAAAGGGCUCGUAGGUGGCCAACUAAGUCAGACGUGAAAUCCCCAGGCUCAACUUGGGAACUGCGUCUGAUACUGGAUGGCUUGAAUUCGGGAGAGGGAUGCAGAAUUCCAGGUGUAGCGGUGAAAUGCGUAGAUAUCUGGAGGAAUACCGGUGGCGAAGGCGGCGACCUGGGUCGAGACUGACGCUGAGGCGCGAAAGCGUGGGGAGCAAACAGG